GAUGAACGCUGGCGGCGUGCCUAAUACAUGCAAGUCGAGCGAACGGACGAGAAGCUUGCUUCUCUGAUGUUAGCGGCGGACGGGUGAGUAACACGUGGAUAACCUACCUAUAAGACUGGGAUAACUUCGGGAAACCGGAGCUAAUACCGGAUAAUAUUUUGAACCGCAUGGUUCAAAAGUGAAAGACGGUCUUGCUGUCACUUAUAGAUGGAUCCGCGCUGCAUUAGCUAGUUGGUAAGGUAACGGCUUACCAAGGCAACGAUGCAUAGCCGACCUGAGAGGGUGAUCGGCCACACUGGAACUGAGACACGGUCCAGACUCCUACGGGAGGCAGCAGUAGGGAAUCUUCCGCAAUGGGCGAAAGCCUGACGGAGCAACGCCGCGUGAGUGAUGAAGGUCUUCGGAUCGUAAAACUCUGUUAUUAGGGAAGAACAUAUGUGUAAGUAACUGUGCACAUCUUGACGGUACCUAAUCAGAAAGCCACGGCUAACUACGUGCCAGCAGCCGCGGUAAUACGUAGGUGGCAAGCGUUAUCCGGAAUUAUUGGGCGUAAAGCGCGCGUAGGCGGUUUUUUAAGUCUGAUGUGAAAGCCCACGGCUCAACCGUGGAGGGUCAUUGGAAACUGGAAAACUUGAGUGCAGAAGAGGAAAGUGGAAUUCCAUGUGUAGCGGUGAAAUGCGCAGAGAUAUGGAGGAACACCAGUGGCGAAGGCGACUUUCUGGUCUGUAACUGACGCUGAUGUGCGAAAGCGUGGGGAUCAAACAGGAUUAGAUACCCUGGUAGUCCACGCCGUAAACGAUGAGUGCUAAGUGUUAGGGGGUUUCCGCCCCUUAGUGCUGCAGCUAACGCAUUAAGCACUCCGCCUGGGGAGUACGACCGCAAGGUUGAAACUCAAAGGAAUUGACGGGGACCCGCACAAGCGGUGGAGCAUGUGGUUUAAUUCGAAGCAACGCGAAGAACCUUACCAAAUCUUGACAUCCUUUGACAACUCUAGAGAUAGAGCCUUCCCCUUCGGGGGACAAAGUGACAGGUGGUGCAUGGUUGUCGUCAGCUCGUGUCGUGAGAUGUUGGGUUAAGUCCCGCAACGAGCGCAACCCUUAAGCUUAGUUGCCAUCAUUAAGUUGGGCACUCUAAGUUGACUGCCGGUGGCAAACCGGAGGAAGGUGGGGAUGACGUCAAAUCAUCAUGCCCCUUAUGAUUUGGGCUACACACGUGCUACAAUGGACAAUACAAAGGGCAGCGAAACCGCGAGGUCAAGCAAAUCCCAUAAAGUUGUUCUCAGUUCGGAUUGUAGUCUGCAACUCGACUACAUGAAGCUGGAAUCGCUGGUAAUCGUAGAUCAGCAUGCUACGGUGAAUACGUUCCCGGGUCU
rnacentral:rRNA from 1 species